rnacentral:rRNA from 1 species
GAGUUUGAUCAUGGCUCAGAUUGAACGCUGGCGGUAGGCUUAACACAUGCAAGUCGUGCGAGAAAGUAUCUUCGGAUAUGAGUAGAGCGGCGGACGGGUGAGUAACGCGUAGGAAUCUACCUAGUAGAAGGGGAUAGCCCGGGGAAACCCGGAUUAAUACCGUAUACCUCCUUCGGGAGAAAGAAGGCCUCUCUUUGAAGCUUUCGCUACUAGAUGAGCCUGCGUAAGAUUAGCUUGUUGGUGAGGUAAAGGCUCACCAAGGCGACGAUCUUUAGCUGGUCUGAGAGGACGAUCAGCCACAUUGGGACUGAGACACGGCCCAAACUCCUACGGGAGGCAGCAGUGGGGAAUCUUGCACAAUGGAGGAAACUCUGAUGCAGCGAUGCCGCGUGAGUGAAGAAGGCCUUUGGGUUGUAAAGCUCUUUCGUCGGGGAAGAAAAUGACUGUACCCGAAUAAGAAGGUCCGGCUAACUUCGUGCCAGCAGCCGCGGUAAUACGAAGGGACCUAGCGUAGUUCGGAAUUACUGGGCUUAAAGAGUUCGUAGGUGGUUGAAAAAGUUGGUGGUGAAAUCCCAGAGCUUAACUCUGGAACUGCCAUCAAAACUUUUCAGCUAGAGUAUGAUAGAGGAAAGCAGAAUUUCUAGUGUAGAGGUGAAAUUCGUAGAUAUUAGAAAGAAUACCAAUUGCGAAGGCAGCUUUCUGGAUCAUUACUGACACUGAGGAACGAAAGCAUGGGUAGCGAAGAGGAUUAGAUACCCUCGUAGUCCAUGCCGUAAACGAUGUGUGUUAGACGUUGGAAAUUUAUUUUCAGUGUCGCAGGGAAACCGAUAAACACACCGCCUGGGGAGUACGACCGCAAGGUUAAAACUCAAAUGAAUUGACGGGGACCCGCACAAGUAGUGGAGCAUGUGGUUUAAUUCGAAGAUACGCGCAGAACCUUACCAACACUUGACAUGUUCGUCGCGACUCUAAGAGAUUAGAGUUUUCGGUUCGGCCGGACGAAACACAGGUGCUGCAUGGCUGUCGUCAGCUCGUGUCGUGAGAUGUUGGGUUAAGUCCCGCAACGAGCGCAACCCUCACUUUUAGUUGCCAUCAUUAAGUUGGGCACUCUGAAAGAACUGCCAGUGAUAAGCUGGAGGAAGGUGGGGAUGACGUCAAGUCCUCAUGGCCCUUACGUGUUGGGCUACACACGUGCUACAAUGGCAUCUACAACAGGAAGCAAAACGGCAACGUUAAGCAAAUCCCGAAAAGAUGCCUCAGUUCGGAUUGCACUCUGCAACUCGAGUGCAUGAAGCUGGAAUUACUAGUAAUCGUGGAUCAGCGUGCCACGGUGAAUGCGUUCCCGGGUCUUGUACACACCGCCCGUCACACCAUGGGAGUUGGUUCUACCUUAAGGCAAGGUUUUAAACCCUUGACCACGGUAUAGUCAGCGACUGGGGUGAAGUCGUAACAAGGUAACC